UGACGAUGACGAUGAUAAUGAUGAUGAUGAUGAUGAUGCGGAGACAAAAACGAAGACACGUAAUCAUCAUCGUCGUCACCAUUACAAGAAGC
rnacentral:miRNA from 1 species